rnacentral:rRNA from 1 species
UACGUAGGGUGCGAGCGUUUGUCCGGAAUUAUUGGGCGUAAAGAGCUCGUAGGCGGUUUGUCGCGUCUGCCGUGAAAGUCCGGGGCUCAACUCCGGAUCUGCGGUGGGUACGGGCAGACUAGAGUGAUGUAGGGGAGACUGGAAUUCCUGGUGUAGCGGUGAAAUGCGCAGAUAUCAGGAGGAACACCGAUGGCGAAGGCAGGUCUCUGGGCCACUACUGACGCUGAGAAGCGAAAGCGUGGGGAGCGAACAGG